UAAAAAUAUUAUUUGUGUUAAUCACAAAAAUAACUUAUUAUUAACUUAAAAUACUAACAUUCUUUUAUAUUUGGGGAAAAAAGGAAUACACUUGGGGUGUUUUAAUAAAGAAAUGCAUGAGAAAUCUGAGGGUUUCAUUAUUGGCAUGAAGUCAAUUUUCAGAAACGUAUCUAAAGCAUCAACAAAGCCGCCGUCACAGAGAGCCGUCAAUGCUUUAGAUAGGAACACAGAACACAGAUCCCAAGUCAGUCAAAGUGCACAUUUAUCCUUUUGCUUUUUCUCUCCUGUUUUUUUAUCAUGCUCAUUAAGAAUGGGCCCUGUUGCUUGCAGGGAUUAUAACUGAUCAGAGCCAUAUAAUAGAAGAGUUACGACAUCUCUGUUCACUCUAAUGGACCAGUUUUUUUACAGCAAUGGCGGAUCGCGGAGCCUCUCCUUAGUUCCCCGGAAGUUAGCGGCUAACUAUUGAGAGGAUCUGCGGCUAGCAGUCUAUGGUUGCAGCAUAAUAGACCGUUCGUGAUGGACUUUUAAAGGUAAGAAGACGUUUAAAGAUUUAUAUUGCGGAUAUUAUCAGAACAUCUGAAUCAAAUUAACUACACAUGUGUAUUAAAGGAUGUUAGUGGGUUAUCCCUUAAAUCAGUAUAUUUUACGUUUACAGAUAAGGCUAGGAUACCGGAUAAAGUUAGCAACACACGUUAACCACUAUUAAUCCGUUCUCUUAAUGUUAUUUCCUCCAACGUUGUGGAAUUAGAGAAAAGGGGCUUCUUAACGUGCCUUUAUCCGGGGUGGAGGGAGUCAAAUAUUAGUUAAAUAUAACAUUGGGGCGUGUGAUUGUAGUGGGUGGAGGUGGUGAAAUGAGGAUAUCCAUCUUGAAGUUCAAGCUAGUAUAAUAUAGUUAACAUUACACAAUAAUAAGGAAGAGAGCUAUUUUUGUGAUACAUCGCUGUUGAUAUGGAUUUAGAGUGCAUAUUUGAGACUUCUAAACAGUAAACAAAAACAUAACUUAUGGGUGAGUGUUUUUAGCAGAGUCAUAUUAUGUCUUUGUGAUUCUGUUGAUUAUUACCUGCCUGUAUUAUGUUGCAGCUCAGCUGAUUUUGGAUUGAUGGCAAAAGGAGAGGGACUUAAUUGAGAGUGAAAACACAAGCACAAGAACCCCAGAGGGAUUCAAUGGAGCCUGAAUACCUGCACUGAGACCCUCACCCUGCACCUGAGUCUCAACUCCAAGAGUUUUGCAAGCCUCUCCCUGUUCCUUAUUUUUAUUAAACAGACAUUAAGCUUC